rnacentral:rRNA from 1 species
GGUUUCCGCCGCGCUUUUUCAGGCGGGGCGGGGGCAUGGUUGGCCUUCGGGAGGCAGCAGUGGGGAAUUUUGGACAAUGGGGGCAACCUUUUAUUACAAGGGAAUGCCGCGUGUGUGUAUUGAAGGCUUUUCGGGCUUUUUUUUGGACGG